UAAAAAUUUUAUAUUGGUUUUAUUAUUAAGUAUUAUUUUUUAUUAUAUGUUAAUUUUUAUUAGAUAAUAAAUUUGCAGUAAUUAAAUUUAAAUAUUCAAGUAAUUGAGAUUUAGAAAUAAUAAAUAAUAUAAACAAAAUUUGUGCCAGCAGUUGCGGUUACACAAAUUAUAUAAUUUAAUUUAUUUAAUUUUAAUUAGUUAGUAAAUAAAUUUUAAAUUAAAAUUUAUUUAGUGAAAUUUUAAAUUUUUAAUUAAAUUUUGAGAUAAAGUAUAUUAAUAAAUUUUAAAUAUAAACUAGGAUUAGAUACCCUAUUAUUUAAUAUGUAAAAUAUAAAAAUUAAAUUAGUAUUAGUUAUGUUCUUGAAAAUUAAAAAAUUUGGCGGUAUUUUAGUCUUUUCAGAGGAACCUGUUUUAUAAAUGAUAUUCCACGAUUUAAUUUACUUUUUUUAUUAGCUUAUAUAUCAUCGUAAUAAAAUAUUUUUAAAGAAAUAAAAUGUUUAAAAUUUUUAUUAGAAAAUAUUUCAGAUCAAGGUGUAGUUUAUAAAAAAGUAAAAAUGGGUUACAUUAAAUUUAUUUGAGGAUGCUUAUUUUUAUAAAUAUUUUAAAUAUGGAUUUGAAAGUAAUUUUAAUUAAUUAAUUAAAAUGAUUUUAGCUCUAAAAUAUGUACAUAUUGCCCGUCGCUUUCAUUUAAAAUGAAAUAAGUCGUAACAAAGUAGAUUUACUGGAAAGUGAAUCUAGAUUCAA
rnacentral:ncRNA from 1 species